CACACUCACUCACUAGCAGACACACACACACUCACUAGCAGACACACACACUCACACUAACAGGCAAACACACUCACACUAACAGACAGACACACACACUCACUAACAGACACACACACUCACUAACAGACACACUUACUCACUAACAGACAGACACACACACUAACAGACACACUCACUCACUAACAGACUCACUCAUUAACAGACACACUCACUCACUUACAGACAGACAC